UACGUAGGGGGCAAGCGUUGUCCGGAAUUAUUGGGCGUAAAGAGCGUGUAGGCGGUCCGGUAAGUCAGCUGUGAAAGUCAAGGGCUCAACCCUUGAAUGCCGGUUGAUACUGUCGGGCUAGAGUCCGGAAGAGGCGGAGUGGAAUUCCCGGUGUAGCGGUGAAAUGCGCAGAUAUCGGGAGGAACACCAGUGCGAAGGCGACUACCUGGCCUGUUCUUGACGCUGAGGCGACGAAAGCUAAGGGGGAGCAAAACGGG
rnacentral:rRNA from 1 species